GACAGAGGGUGCAAACGUUGUUCGGAAUUACUGGGCGUAAAGCGUGUGUAGGCGGCCUCGCAAGUCGGAUGUGAAAGCCCCGGGCUCAACCCGGGAAGUGCACCCGAUACUGCGUGGCUCGAGUACCGGAGAGGUUGGUGGAAUUCUCGGUGUAGAGGUGAAAUUCGUAGAUAUUCGCAAGAACACCAGUGGCGAAGGCGGCUCACUGGCCCGAUACUGACGCUGAGGCACGAAAGCGUGGGGAGCAAACAGG
rnacentral:rRNA from 1 species